CCGAGUGAGGGUUCCUCGCGAGCCCAACCUCCCACCCGUGUUUACUGUACCCUGUUGCUUCGGCGGGUCCCCCCCCGGGGGGGGCCCGCCGGGGACCACAUGAACCCUGUAUUGAGAGCAUUGCAGUCUGAGUCGAUUGAUAACAAUCAGUUA
rnacentral:misc_RNA from 1 species